rnacentral:rRNA from 1 species
GUGCCAGCAGCCGCGGUAAUACGGAGGAUCCGAGCGUUAUCCGGACUUAUUGGGUUUAAAGGGUGCGCAGGCGGGAGAUUAAGUCGGCGGUGAAAUUUUGCGGCUCAACCGUAAAAGUGCCAUCGAAACUGGUUUUCUUGAGUGUAGAUGAAGUAGGCGGAAUUUGUGGUGUAGCGGUGAAAUGCAUAGAUAUCACGAGGAACUCCGAUUGCGAAGGCAGCUUACUAAGUUACUACUGACGCUCAUGCACGAAGGCGUGGGGAUCAAACAGGAUUAGAAACCCGCGUAGUCC